AAUGGAGUUAGGUGUUUUGAAGUUAAUUCUUUGUUGAAAUCUGCACAGGACGUCCGAGAUUCAACUACCGAGCCAUGUUGAUCAUUUAUCUGGAGCUGCAGGUCUAGGGGAAAAAAAUACAUCAAGUGGACAAAUAGAAAAUUUCAAUAUUGAAAACUCAGUAUACAUUCUUUCUUGCAUGAGUGGAUCAAGAAACUUUGAUGGCUAGAGGAUCCAAGAAAUAUUCUGCUGAAAAAUAUCCUCACCUGAAGCCUGCAGUUGGAGUGAAAGAUUCUGUUCCUAAAAAAACAGGAGAAAUG